ACGGAGGGUGCAAGCGUUAAUCGGAAUUACUGGGCGUAAAGCGCACGCAGGCGGAUUGUUAAGUCAGAUGUGAAAUCCCCCGGCUUAACCUGGGAACUGCAUCUGAUACUGGUAAGCUUGAGUACAGUAGAGGGGGAUAGAAUUCCAGGUGUAGCGGUGAAAUGCGUAGAGAUCUGGAGGAAUACCGGUGGCGAAGGCUGCCCCCUGGACGAGGACUGACGCUCAGGUGCGAAAGCGUGGGGAGCAAACAG
rnacentral:rRNA from 1 species